rnacentral:rRNA from 1 species
AGAGUUUGAUCAUGGCUCAGAUUGAACGCUGGCGGCAGGCCUAACACAUGCAAGUCGAGCGAGAAAGCACUUCGGUGCGAGUAGAGCGGCGGACGGGUGAGUAACGCGUAGGAAUCUACCUGGUGGUGGGGGACAACUCGGGGAAACUCGAGCUAAUACCGCGUACGCCCUUCGGGGGAAAGCGGGGGAUCUUCGGACCUCGCGCUAUUGGAUGAGCCUGCGUCGGAUUAGCUUGUUGGUGAGGUAAAAGCUCACCAAGGCGACGAUCCGUAGCUGGUCUGAGAGGAUGAUCAGCCACACUGGGACUGAGACACGGCCCAGACUCCUACGGGAGGCAGCAGUGGGGAAUAUUGCGCAAUGGGGGCAACCCUGACGCAGCCAUGCCGCGUGUGUGAAGAAGGCCUUAGGGUUGUAAAGCACUUUCAAUUGGGAAGAAAAGCUUGUCGUUAAUAGCGGCAAGCCCUAACAUUACCUUUAGAAGAAGCACCGGCUAACUCCGUGCCAGCAGCCGCGGUAAUACGGAGGGUGCGAGCGUUAAUCGGAAUUACUGGGCGUAAAGCGCGCGUAGGUGGUUUGUUAAGUCAGCUGUGNNNCCCCGGGCUCAACCUGGGAAUUGCAGUUGAUACUGGCCGACUAGAGUACGAGAGAGGGAGGUAGAAUUCCAUGUGUAGCGGUGAAAUGCGUAGAUAUAUGGAGGAAUACCAGUGGCGAAGGNGGCCUCCUGGCUCGAUACUGACACUGAGGUGCGAAAGCGUGGGUAGCAAACAGGAUUAGAUACCCUGGUAGUCCACGCCGUAAACGAUGUCUACUAGCCGUUGGGAGA